GUUGUUUAGUUCACUUUUAUUUAUCAGCUGUUGGGCUUUCUCCCUACCCUGGGCCCCGCCCACAGCUGAGGUUCAUGUUUCGUUUGUUUGUUUUUUUAUAUUAAUAUUUUACAUAUUAAUAUCCAGAACAUUUGUUUUGUUAUUUAGUUCAUUAUCCAAUUAAGUUAGGUUUAUUCUUUCUUUUUUUUCCACGUGGUUGUGUGUGUGCGUGUGUGGCGGGGCGCCACUAACGCCGUCCUCAUCGCGGCUGGCCGCUCUCUCCCUCGCGGCUGGCCGCUCUCUCUCUCGCGGCUGGACGCACGCUCUCUCUCGCGGCUGGACGCCUUCUCUCCCUCUCGCUCUCCCUCGUCGCUCGGCGCCGACGUGGGGGAAUAGCGUGGUCACUCGCGGCUGGAGUGACAGACGGACGGGAGUCAAAAUGAACAUUUAAAGACAAUAAUUGGACUCUUGCGUCCCCGUGGUUGGUGUUAGAGGGUGCACACUCAAACACCUACACGGGUCUCGCUUACACGUACACGCACACACAUACACACUCACCUUCUGUCUCCGCUUCAUGGACUGAACAGAGGCAGUUCCGGGUCACCUGUUAAGUAGCACUAGGUGACGUGCCUCCGCGGGUCAGGUGACCCAGGGAGAAACCAAAGUCCAGGAACAAAUUGAUUUAUAGGAAAAAUAUUGUGUUUGGGUUUAAUAUUGGCUCAGCCAUGUGGAGGGUGUGAGCAACAGUAAUUGCUUUGUAUUAUUUUGUGUAUGUAGAAAUAUUAGUUAUGAUAUAAUAGCUGAUAUCUUGAAAAACCCCUAGAUUGUUUUGAUUGGUUUGUCCGGAGGAGGGGCCAAGGGGUAUUUACAGGAGCUCAGCUCACUUGUUGGUGUGCCUCCUGGUUGAGCAGACGUAUGUUGGUCCUGGUAUUUGAAUUGCGGUUUGUAAAUAGUUUUUCCUCUGUCUUUUUUGUAAAUAAUUUUUGUAAAUAUUUUUUGUACAUAAGAGUUUUCACCUGUGGGUAUUUUUUUGGAGAUGGUGUAAAUAAAAGGAAAUCACCGUACUCGGUUCUCGACUGUGCCAUCAUCUUUCCCUCCACAACCGAAAAAGAACUUAAAGAAACUGAACCCGCGACAUUU